rnacentral:misc_RNA from 1 species
AUUUUAGUAAUUUGCGUUUUCAUACAAGUUUGGUAUCCAAAUAUUUCGCGGUAAGAAGUAAUGUGUUCAAGUUGUUACUCAACUGUUACGAAAUGAGUGAUCAAAAUGUUCUUGAUAUUCAAAACCAAAUGCGAGAAAAUUCUGAGGAUCUACAGAAAUAUUUAAUGGAUUUAGAUAAUUGGGAAAAAGAAAUGAGGAAAAAAGAAGAAGAACUAAAACUUAAUAAAACUAAUGAUGAAGACGCAUUUCCUCCGAUUAGGAAUUCAUUAUCAAGAUCUAAAAAGAAAGGCAGACACAAGAAAAAAGAAAGAAAUAUUUCUAGUCAAAAAGAUAUGGAAACAAAAAAUGAAGCAGAUGAAGAAACAAAGCAUUCUAGUCCAUCUGAUAAUAGUGAUCAAGAUGAGGAAAUGUGUUUGCAGAAAAAAAAGCAGUUGGCUAUCCUAAAUAAAGAUAAGGGAAAUGAAUUUUUUAAGAAAGGAAACUAUGAUUCAGCUAUUAAUUGCUAUACAACUGGAAUGCAACUAGAUCCAGACAAUCCUUUGCUUCCUGCAAACCGUGCCAUGGCAUUUCUCAAAAAAGAGCAGUUUCAAGCUGCUGAGAAUGAUUGCACUUCAUGUCUUGCAGUUGACCCAACUUAUGUCAAAGCAUAUCUUAGGAGAGGAACGGCACGGAGUAAAUUGAAGAAAUAUUCCUUAGCUAGAGAAGAUUUCUCAAAAGCAUUGGAGCUAGAACCAGAAAAUAAACAAGCACAGUUAGAACUCAAAAAAUUAAAAGAGUGCCCCAGCCCAAUUUCAGAUGAUCAAAAAAUCGAGUCAGAAGUUCUGAAAACACAAGACUUUUGGCCCCAGUUUGUUGGAAAUAAGAAUAUCAUAGUUUCUGAAGAAAUGCAUGAAGACAAAAAUCAUUUAAAAGCUUCUACUUCCAAAGAAUCUAUAGUAUCAACUACAGUUUUGAAUACUAAUGAUGACUCUGAACAAAAACAAGAAGAGACCAAAAUGGCAUCGACUAAAAAGGCUAAUAACAGUUCAGAAAACCCUUUAUAUGAAAUAGGAGAAAUUAUAAGUAAAUUAGAACAGUCUCUGCCACCUGUACCGUCAGCUUCAUUUCAGUUUCUGACUGACUGGACUAAAAUAUCUAAAUAUCCAGAUCUGAAGUAUCGUUAUUUGAAACAAUGGUGAUGAUGUCUUUGAUUAUUUAAAGUACCUUACUGCUGUUGGGAGAUUUAAUACUAUGCUUAUGUUUUUGUCUAAUAGUGAGAAAAAAAAUUUACAAAAGCUGCUUGAUGUUAUAAAAUCAUCUG